UACGAAGGGGGCUAGCGUUGCUCGGAAUCACUGGGCGUAAAGCGCACGUAGGCGGAUCUUUAAGUCAGAGGUGAAAUCCCAAGGCUCAACCUUGGAACUGCCUUUGAUACUGGGGAUCUCGAGUCCGGAAGAGGUUGGUGGAACUGCGAGUGUAGAGGUGAAAUUCGUAGAUAUUCGCAAGAACACCAGUGGCGAAGGCGGCCAACUGGGCCGGUACUGACGCUGAGGUGCGAAAGCGUGGGGAGCAAACAGG
rnacentral:rRNA from 1 species